rnacentral:lncRNA from 1 species
GCUGAUGUGUCUUUGAAGCACCCACCACCACCUCGCAACACAUCCUAUGUGCAGCACCACACUAGGAUUAGCUUCAGGAGGGGAGGGGUGUUGUCGGGUUCCCCUGAGCAUCCCUAAUGCCUGGAAUAGCUCCCAGCACACACGGUGGGCCAAAUGUUGAUUCCUGUGUGUAGAAGGAGUGGGCCAGCAGCUGAGCAUGCCCAGGCCAUCUUCCUAUCUGGCUCUGCGAGGCAGGCCUGCUUCCACCGAUGGGGAUGUGCCAUAUCUCUUGCUUACUUGAUGAGUCUGACCUUCAUUGCCCCCAGGCCUGUGCUGGUCUUUUGGGGUACUGGGCUCACUUCGAGCUUUCCCUUGAGUUCAGGGAGUGGGGUAAGGCUGAACACUCCUAGCCAAAGUCUGCUGCUGCUUUGACCUCCUCAGAGGGGAUUCUGGAAGAACAACCUUCGGACCCUGUGCAGAUGGUGUCUUCAGCCUGGCUUGGGACUUAGAAGACCUGGGUUGCAUUCCUAACUGAUUUCAAUUCCAGUGGAACUUUGAGUUAGUCCUGUUCUCUUUCUGAGCCUCCGUCUUCUCAUCUGUAAAAUGGACAUAGGACAAUACUAUUUCCUUUAGAAAGGUGAUAGAGAUCUUAGAGCCCCUGCUCAAGGAUGCCCAUUGUUCUGGCCCGAGUGCGUUUUUAGGCCAAAGCAAUGGGAGGAUAAAGGAAGGAGUAACCUGACCUGCAGAUGGUGGAUGGAUGACUGGCUAAAGUGUCUAAGCAGCCGGGGAGGGCGUGGGAGACGGCCAGGCCGGAGGUGGACUGAGCUCCAGGCAGAGUCCUAGAGACUGGCCCUGAGCUAACAUCCGUGCCCAUCUUCCUCUCCUUUGUAUGUGGGAUGCUGGCCACAGCAUGGCGUGGGGCGUCCUCCAACGACCACGGCCGACACCGGGACUCUUCUCCAAACCAGAGGCAGGAGUAAAGGGGCGGCCUGUGGAGACUGUUCUUUCCCUGAGCGCGGAGCCCACCUGUCGAGCAGUUUCCCUCCAGAAGGAACAGGUGUCUUGGCAACUGAGUCAUCGUCUCGCUGCCCUCCCUGCAUUAAAU